rnacentral:rRNA from 1 species
UACGUAGGGGGCAAGCGUUGUCCGGAAUUAUUGGGCGUAAAGAGCGUGUAGGCGGUCCGGUAAGUCAGCUGUGAAAGUCAAGGGCUCAACCCUUGAAAGCCGGUUGAUACUGUCGGGCUAGAGUCCGGAAGAGGCGAGUGGAAUUCCCGGUGUAGCGGUGAAAUGCGCAGAUAUCGGGAGGAACACCAAUGGCGAAGGCAGCUCGCUGGGACGGUACUGACGCU